AGUCGAGCGAGAUUUUUUCCUGUAGCAAUACAGGGAAAAGUCUAGCGGCGAACGGGUGCUUAACACGUGGGCAAUCUGCCGAGAAGUGGGGGAUAGCUCGCCGAAAGGCGAAUUAAUACCGCAUGUGAUGAGAGUGGACAUCCAUUCAAAAUCAAAGUCGGGGCAACCUGACGCUUCUUGAGGAGCCCGCGGCCUAUCAGCUAGUUGGUGAGGUAACGGCCCACCAAGGCUUAGACGGGUAGCUGGUCUGAGAGGACGACCAGCCACACUGGGACUGAGACACGGCCCAGACACCUACGGGUGGCAGCAGUCGAGAAUUUCUCUCAAUGGGGGAAACCCUGAAGGAGCGACGCCGCGUGGAGGAUGAAGGUCUUCGGAUUGUAAACUCCUGUCAUUGGGGAACAAUGCGCAAAUAUUAACUGUAUUUGCGUUGAUAGUACCCGAAGAGGAAGAGACGGCUAACUCUGUGCCAGCAGCCGCGGUAAUACAGAGGUCUCAAGCGUUGUUCGGAUUCAUUGGGCGUAAAGGGUGCGUAGGCGGCGCGGUAAGUCGGGUGUGAAAUCUCGGAGCUUAACUCCGAAACUGCGUUCGAUACUGCCGUGCUUGAGGACUGGAGAGGAGACUGGAAUUUACGGUGUAGCGGUGAAAUGCGUAGAUAUCGUAAGGAAGACCAGUGGCGAAGGCGGGUCUCUGGACAGUUCCUGACGCUGAGGCACGAAGGCCAGGGGAGCAAACGGGAUUAGAUACCCCGGUAGUCCUGGCAGUAAACGGUGCACGUUUGGUGUGGGAGGAUUCGACCCCUUCUGC
rnacentral:rRNA from 1 species